UACGUAGGGUGCAAGCGUUGCUCGGAAUUAUUGGGCGUAAAGCGCACGUAGGCGGCUUAGUAAGUCGGAUGUGAAAUCCCUCGGCUCAACCAAGGAAGUGCAUCCGAAACUGCUGAGCUUGAGUACGAAAGAGGAUCGCGGAAUUCCCGGUGUAGAGGUGAAAUUCGUAGAUAUCGGGAGGAACACCAGUGGCGAAGGCGGCGAUCUGGGUCGAUACUGACGCUGAGGUGCGAAAGCGUGGGGAGCAAACAGG
rnacentral:rRNA from 1 species